CAGGCCUAACACAUCCAAGUCGAGCGGGGAUACAGGGAACGGAAGCUUCGGCGGAAGGGAGCUGUAUUCCAGCGGCGGACGGGUGAGUAACGCGUGAACGAUCUGUCCCAGACGGGGGGAUAACACUUGGAAACAGGUGCUAAUACCGCAUAAGACCACGUAGCUGCAUGGCUAUGAGGUAAAAGGGGAGACUCGGUAUGGGGUGAGUUCGCGUCUGAUUAGCUAGUUGGUGAGGUAACGGCCCACCAAGGCGACGAUCAGUAGCCGACCUGAGAGGGUGAUCGGCCACAUUGGAACUGAGACACGGUCCAAACUCCUACGGGAGGCAGCAGUGGGGAAUAUUGGGCAAUGGGCGAAAGCCUGACCCAGCAACGCCGCGUGAGGGAAGAAGGUUUUCGGAUUGUAAACCUCUGUUGUGGAUGACGAAGGAAGUGACGGUAAUCCACAAGGAAGCCCCGGCUAACUACGUGCCAGCAGCCGCGGUAAUACGUAGGGGGCGAGCGUUGUCCGGAAUGACUGGGCGUAAAGGGCGCGUAGGCGGCUAAAUAAGUUAGGAGUGAAAUUCCAGUUUUCAAGAUUGGAACUGCUUUUAAUACUGUAUAGCUUGAGUGCAGAAGAGGUAAGCGGAAUUCCCAGUGUAGCGGUGAAAUGCUUAGAUAUCACGAAGAACCCCGAUUGCGAAGGCAGCUGACGAGUCCUUUACUGACGCUAAGCUCGAAGGUGCGGGUAUCGAACAGGAUUAGAUACCCUGGUAGUCCGCACGGUAAACGAUGGAUGCCCGCUGUUGGCGAUACAAUGUCAGCGGCCAAGCGAAAGCGUUAAGCAUCCCACCUGGGGAGUACGCCGGCAACGGUGAAACUCAAAGGAAUUGACGGGGGCCCGCACAAGCGGAGGAACAUGUGGUUUAAUUCGAUGAUACGCGAGGAACCUUACCCGGGCUUGAACUGCAGGGGAACGAUCCAGAGAUGGUGAGGUCAGCAAUGACCCCUGUGGUGGUGCUGCAUGGUUGUCGUCAGCUCGUGCCGUGAGGUGUCGGCUUAAGUGCCAUAACGAGCGCAACCCUUUUCUCUAGUUGCCAUCAGGUGAUGCUGGGCACUCUGGAGACACUGCCACCGUAAGGUGUGAGGAAGGUGGGGAUGACGUCAAAUCAGCACGGCCCUUACGUCCGGGGCUACACACGUGUUACAAUGGGGAGUACAGCGAGUCGGUUGUAUGCAAAUGCGAUCCAAUCAUGAAAGCUCUCCUCAGUUCGGAUUGGGGUCUGCAACCCGACCCCAUGAAGCUGGAUUCGCUAGUAAUCGCGCAUCAGCCAUGGCGCGGUGAAUACGUUCCCGG
rnacentral:rRNA from 1 species